UACGGAGGGGGCUAGCGUUGUUCGGAAUUACUGGGCGUAAAGCGCGCGUAGGCGGCUCGUUAAGUGUGAAGUGAAAUCUCCAGGGCUCAACCCGGAAACUGCUUCGCAUACUGGCGAGCUUGAGGAAUGCAGAGGUUAGUGGAAUUCCUGGUGUAGCGGUGAAAUGCGUUGAUAUCAGGAGGAACACCCAUGGCGAAGGCAGCCUAACUGGGCAUUAUCUGA
rnacentral:rRNA from 1 species